rnacentral:rRNA from 1 species
UGUAAGAAUAAAUGGUCGAACAGACCAAAAUUUUAAACUUCUACACCUAAAACUUAUCUUAAUCCAACAUCGAGGUCGCAAUCUUUUUUAUUGAUAAGUUCUCUCAAAAAAUAUUACGCUGUUAUCCCUUAAGUAACUUAAUCUUAUAAUCAUUAAUAAUGGAUCAUAUCAAAAAUUUUUGAUAAAAAGUUUAUUAAAUUUUCCUAUCGCCCCAAUAAAAUAUUAUAUAAAGCUUUAAAGGGUCUUCUCGUCCUUUAAUAAUAGUUAAGCUUUUUAACUUAAAAAUUAAUUUCUAAAUCAAUUAAAAUGAGACAGUUAAUAUUUCAUUCAAUCCUUCAUUCCAGUUCUCAAUUAAAAAACUAUUGAUUAUGCUACCUUUGCACAGUCAAAAUACUGCGGCCUUUUUCAAUGGGCAGAUUAGACUUUAAAUU